rnacentral:misc_RNA from 1 species
AGUCGUAACAAGGUUUCCGUAGGUGAACCUGCGGAAGGAUCAUUAGUGAUUGCCAUCUUGGCUUAAACUAUAUCCAUCUACACCUGUGAACCGUUUGAUUGAAUCUUCUGAUUCAAUUUUACAAACAUUGUGUAAUGAACGUCAUUAGAUCAUAAUAAGAAAAAACUUUCAACAACGGAUCUCUUGGCUCUCGCAUCGAUGAAGAACGCAGCGAAAUGCGAUAAGUAAUGUGAAUUGCAGAAUUCAGUGAAUCAUCGAAUCUUUGAACGCAACUUGCGCUCUCUGGUAUUCCGGAGAGCAUGCCUGUUUGAGUGUCAUGAAAUCUCAACCAUUAGGGUUUCUUAAUGGCUUGGAUUUGGAGGUUGCCAUUCUAAAUGGCUCCUCUUAAAAGAGUUAGCGAGUUUAACUAUUGCUAUCUGGCGUAAUAAGUUUCGCUGGAAUGGUAUUGUGAAGCGCGCUUCUAAUCGUCUUCGGACAAUUUUUUGACUCUGGCCUCAAAUCAGGUAGGACUACCCGCUGAACUUAAGCAUAUCAAUAAGCGGAGGA